UUGCGNNUGGGCGAAAGCCUGACGCAGCGACGCCGCGUGCGGGAUGAAGGCCUUCGGGUUGUAAACCGCUUUCAGCAGGGACGAAGCGAAAGUGACGGUACCUGCAGAAGAAGCGCCGGCUAACUACGUGCCAGCAGCCGCGGUAACACGUAGGGCGCGAGCGUUGUCCGGAAUUAUUGGGCGUAAAGAGCUCGUAGGUGGUCCGCUACGUCUGCUGUGAAAUUCCAGGGCUUAACCCUGGACUUGCAGUGGAUACGGGCAGACUAGAGGUAGGUAGGGGAGAAUGGAAUUCCCGGUGUAGCGGUGAAAUGCGCAGAUAUCGGGAGGAACACCGGUGGCGAAGGCGGUUCUCUGGGCCUUACCUGACACUGAGGAGCGAAAGCGUGGGGAGCGAACAGGAUUAGAUACCCUGGUAGUCCACGCCGUAAACGUUGGGCGCUAGGUGUGGGGUCCUUCCACGGAUUCCGUGCCGCAGCUAACGCAUUAAGCGCCCCGCCUGGGGAGUACGGCCGCAAGGCUAAAACUCAAAAAAAUUGACGGA
rnacentral:rRNA from 1 species